AGAUGUGGAGAUAUUUUGUGGAACCUUAAAAUAUGAAGACUAAGUCAUCUUUUUUCUCAUUCAACACUUAGCAAAUAAAACAAGAACUUGGAGAGCUCCACUCCCUCUAGCUCACGGCUAAGACCAAGGAAAACCAAAUCCCUUUCAAGCCUCUCCAAAAUUAUUUCUUUGGUUCAAACCCACUAAUUAGAGGUCCCUAAGUAGCGUGGAGGCAUUGUUGGAGCGAUCAAGUCAUUUAUUUGAGAGAUUGCAAACCCUAACCCAUUGUGGAGUUGAAGAGGAAAGACCUUGGAGAGCUCGAGGCGUAGAUUGGGAUUAACGUUAGGUUGGCUAUCUUGGAGUGCGUACGAGGUAUGUAAAGUCCAACCUUCUUUCUUUUGGCAUGCCUUAGUUUUGGAUAGGCUAGAUUACGAGCCUUUAGGAAAAUCCUAUGAUUCGAAAUCCGAGCAUGAUAUGAUCUAUAUAUAUUCCUUGACACUCUUAUGUAUGAUUUGAUAAAAGUAUGAACCAUUAUGACUUUGAAAUAUUCGCUUUCCGAACUUUGCAUAAAAAGGUUUUGCUUUAAAGAAUUUCGUAAAUUUUGAAUUUCAUAUCUUUCACAUAAAGGCUCGGAUUGUUCCACUAUUUUUUUAUAGGAGUUUGCAUGAUGUAUAAUGAGUAUAUUUUCCAUAGGCGGGCCCGACUCGGGUCAAUACCCGUCCGUGGGUCCCGCGACUUUCCUUUAUGUAAUUCGGAGAACUUUUGAAAGAAUUUGAUAUGACUAUUAUUUCGAUUUACAAGUAUGAUCAUUCUACUUAUGUUUGAAUUUAUGAUAAUGAUUUUAUGCAUAUGACUACUCACGACUCUAUUCGUGCAUUCUGUUAUCCCUUUCGCCGAGUCCCGGGCCGGUUCUGUUAUCGUGCGCAUUUUGAUAUACUCCGGAGUUAUGCUGUGUUUAUGGUUCACCGAGCUACUCGCAAAAGAGGGUCGGGUUCCACUUAUAUUUGGUGUUAUGUUGUAUGGCGUUAUGCUGUGAUGUGAUAUUUGACGGGGAUACGGAGAUUUGAGACUUUCUGGUGUUAUGCUGUGUUAUGGCGCCAUCGACGGGCGGGCGACCAUAUUCCUCUGUACCCUAUGAAUGACUUACAUAUUUUUUUGAAAGUAAACAAAUUUUGAUAUGAUUGGAUUUGUACUUAUGUUCGGCACUUCCACUUCGUUUAUGUCUCAGGUUUGUUUUCUGUAUAUUCUGCUUUGCAUACUCAGUACAUAUUUCGUACUGACCCCCCUUUCUUCGGGGGGCUGCGUUUCAUGCCCGCAGGUACAGACGCACAGUUUAGUGAUCUACCCAUUUAGGACACCCUCUUCUGCUGUUUGGAGUGCUCUUCUCAUUUCAGAGCACACAUUUUGGUAUAUAUUUGUUCGCUAUGUAUAUAUGUAUUUGUUCAGGGUACGGCGGGGCCCUGUCCCGCCAUAUGAUUCGGUUUGUCUGUUUAGAGGUCUGUAGACGUAUUUGUGGGCGUGUGUGCCUACUUCUGUACAGUUGUGUUUAUAUGAUUCUACUCGUUAUGGCAGCCUUGUCGGCGUGUAUUUGUAUAUGUGUUUUGGGCCGUUGUGCCAUUUGAUAGCCUUGUCGGCUUUUGGUACAUGUGAUAGCCUUAUCGGCUUUUGAUACAUUUGACAGCCUUGCCGGCUUUUUGAUAUAUAUAUAUAUGUCCGCACAUGGUUGCGUUGAAAUGUGUC